GAUGAACGCUGGCGGCGUGCCUAAUACAUGCAAGUCGAGCGGACGGACGAGAAUCUCGAUUCUGUUAUGUUAGCGGCGGACGGGUGAGUAACACAUGGAUAACAUAUCUAUAAGACUGGGAUAACUUCGGGAAACCGCCGCUAAUACCGGACAAUAUUUUGAACCGCAUGAUUCAUAAGUGAAAGACGGUCUUGCUGUCACUUAUAGACGUACCCGCGCUGCAUUAGCUAGUUGGUAAGGUAACGGCUUACCAAGGCAACGAUGCAUAGCCGACCUGAGAGGGUGGCCGGCCAAACUGGAACUGAACCGCGGUCCAGACUCCUACGGGAGGCAGCGGUAGGGAAUCGUACGCUAUGGGCGAAAGCCUGACGGGACAAAGCCGCGUGAGUGAUGAGGGUCUUCGGAUCGUAGAACUCUGUUAUUAGGGAAGAACAUAUGUGCAAGUAACUGUGCACAACUUGACGGUACCUAAGCAGAAAGCCACGGCUAACUCCGUG
rnacentral:rRNA from 1 species